rnacentral:rRNA from 1 species
AGCGGCGGACGGGUGAGUAACGCGUGGGUAACCUGCCUCAUACAGGGGGAUAACAGUUAGAAAUGACUGCUAAUACCGCAUAAGACCACAGCACCGCAUGGUGCGGGGUAAAACUCCGGUGGUAUGAGAUGGACCCGCGUCUGAUUAGCUAGUUGGUAAGGUAACGGCUUACCAAGGCGACGAUCAGUAGCCGACCUGAGAGGGUGACCGGCCACAUUGGGACUGAGACACGGCCCAA